rnacentral:tRNA from 1 species
UCUAAUAUGACAGACUCAUAUGUAUUGGAUUUAAACCCCAAAAAUGAAAAUUUUAAUUUUCUAUUAGAA